AUGUGAGCGUAGCAUGAAUAUUUUCCUUGCGGACGGUCGAUGUGGUAGUUUAAUCAUAUUUACGCUUUGCCGAGAGAAAAUGUGCUCUUUUUUGUGCGCAUCAGCGAUCGCUAAGCCCCUGGGCCUGUGCAACGCUGCUAGCUAGCUGUAUCUCUCGUGCGGUGCGGCGUUGUUGGUUAUCGUAGUUCGGUCCAUUCGUGCUCUUUGUUCCCGGCUGAUUAGCAGCCUCUGGUACUCUCGCCGAUCUCGCAGCGGUUCACAGUGCACGGAAGAAUGUGUUGGAAAUUGUACUAUUACGUUCAUCCGCAAUUUAACAGUGUUUAUGCCGGAAGGACAGUUCGUGCAGUCGAUGCCGCCGGACCUGACACGAAGGAGCGUUUGCCGAGUAUGUCUCGAAAGGUAAGUCCGGCGCUUGGCGCAUUUUUAUAGUUCGUGUAGUGUGCCUUGUUAGGCGGAGCACAAGAUGAUUAGUACAGCGACAAAAAUAUAAAAGUGAUUUUCUAAUGUUUGUUAUUAAUGCCGUAGUACACAUUUAGCAAAACGUUUUAUGAAAAUUACCCUCAGACAAGUAUAGGAUGUUGCCAAGAGCUUCAUAUAUUGUUUCUUUGCUUUCUGUUAUGAAAUACACUAGCGCCGAGUAUCGUUUAGUCUGAACGGGCACAAAAAUUGAUGCCGCGAAUGUCACUGCUUCUGUACGUAAUUUCUCAGAGAGAAAUGGUAUAUGUGGUGAAGUACGUUGACGUGUUGUCUUCACAGCUAACAUCUGCGCGAGACGGCACCGGAUUGCUCUGUCUGACUCAUGAGCACAUUUUAGCUUGUAUGCAAAUUUUUCUGCUUAUAUAUUGUCAAGACAACCUGUGUUUCUUGUGUUGAGUGUUCUGUAUGUCUUCGUCCAUUUGACAGGUUAAAUAACUGCCCGUGAUGUCAGAAUGAGAUAUUUGCACAACCAUGUAGCUGGCUGAGGUGUUUUCACAAUUUAACGCGGUGUUGUUAAAUCACAAGUUUGCAGUUUCAGCAGUAAUUGCAAUAAACUGAACAUUUCUUAUUGUUUAUGGAUGUCACGAUUUCGUGAGACGGAUGCAAUCUCUGCACCACAUGGGAGCCUGUGGCAAAAUGCAGUCUGAGCAGCCCGACAAGGAAUCUGAUCUGCUUGCUUUGACAAGGUAUGGCUGGGCCUGCAGAGAAAGUGUAAGCAGACUGUGCUGUGUUGCUGAUCAGUGCUGAUCUCCACGCCUGAGUUGGUCCCACAACAUCCAGGCACCAGCGUGCUUUGCUUCAUCAUUGACAAGGUGCGCGGCAAGCUCUCACUCAAGCAACACAUUCCAGUGGUCUUCUGUCAACAGACUGGGUCUAUUGAAGUACCAUUACAAGGUCCAAUAAACAACGCUUGCGAGAUGUGUGACGUGCUCUUGCUUAAAAUCGGAGGACUUCACUAUUAAUGUAAGCUUGAAUAGGUGUGCUGAAGAACCUGUGUAACGUGUACUUGUUUAUUAACAAGUACAAACCAUUACCUCACCUGACAUUUUUUUUCACCUCAACAUAACUCUUUACUGUAGAUUUCUGAACAAACCAUUACAGCGACACAACACUGCAGUAAGGUCAGCACAAGUG